rnacentral:rRNA from 1 species
ACGCACGCUGGCGGCGUGCCUCAUACAUGCAAGUAGAACGCUGAAGAGAGGAGCUUGCUCUUCUUGGAUGAGUUGCGAACGGGUGAGUAACGCGUAGGUAACCUGCCUUGUAGCGGGGGAUAACUAUUGGAAACGAUAGCUAAUACCGCAUAACAAUGGAUGACCCAUGUCAUUUAUUUGAAAGGGGCAAAUGCUCCACUACAAGGUGGACCUGCGUUGUAUUAGCUAGUAGGUGAGGUAACGGCUCACCUAGGCGACGAUACAUAGCCGACCUGAGAGGGUGAUCGGCCACACUGGGACUGAGACACGGCCCAGACUCCUACGGGAGGCAGCAGUAGGGAAUCUUCGGCAAUGGGGGCAACCCUGACCGAGCAACGCCGCGUGAGUGAAGAAGGUUUUCGGAUCGUAAAGCUCUGUUGUAAGUCAAGAACGAGUGUGAGAGUGGAAAGUUCACACUGUGACGGUAGCUUACCAGAAAGGGACGGCUAACUACGUG